rnacentral:rRNA from 1 species
UACGUAGGGGGCAAGCGUUGUCCGGAUUCAUUGGGCGUAAAGAGCGUGUAGGCGGCCAGGUAGGUCGGUUGUGAAAACUGGAGGCUCAACCUUCAGAGGUCGACCGAAACCAUCUGGCUAGAGUCCGGGAGAGGAGAGUGGAAUUCCUGGUGUAGCGGUGAAAUGCGCAGAUAUCAGGAAGAACACCCGUGGCGAAAGCGCCUCUCUGGAACGGUACUGACGCUGAGACGCGAAAGCGUGGGGAGCGAACAGG